GGGCCCGUAGCUCAGCAUGGUUAGAGCGUUCGGCCCUCAAUCGAAAGGUCCGGCGUUCAAAACCCGGCUUAACGGGUGAAACUCGCCGCGGGCCCACCA
rnacentral:tRNA from 1 species